AGAUUGAACGCUGGCGGCAGGCCUAACACAUGCAAGUCGAGCGGAAACAGAGAGUAACUUGUUACUUUGCUGUCGAGCGGCGGACGGGUGAGUAAUGCUUGGGAAACUGCCCAGUCGAGGGGGACAACCAUUGGAAACGAUGGCUAAUACCGCAUACGCCCUACGGGGGAAAGAAGGGGACUCUUCGGAGCCUUUCGCGAUUGGAUGUGCCCAAGUGGGAUUAGCUAGUUGGUGAGGUAAAGGCUCACCAAGGCAACGAUCCCUAGCUGGUUUGAGAGGAUGAUCAGCCACACUGGAACUGAGACACGGUCCAGACUCCUACGGGAGGCAGCAGUGGGGAAUAUUGCACAAUGGGCGCAAGCCUGAUGCAGCCAUGCCGCGUGUAUGAAGAAGGCCUUCGGGUUGUAAAGUACUUUCAGCGAGGAGGAAAGGUUACGUGUUAAUAGCACGUAGCUGUGACGUUACUCGCAGAAGAAGGACCGGCUAACUCCGUGCCAGCAGCCGCGGUAAUACGGAGGGUCCGAGCGUUAAUCGGAAUUACUGGGCGUAAAGCGUACGCAGGCGGUUUGUUAAGCGAGAUGUGAAAGCCCCGGGCUCAACCUGGGAACUGCAUUUCGAACUGACAAACUAGAGUUUUGUAGAGGGUGGUAGAAUUUCAGGUGUAGCGGUGAAAUGCGUAGAGAUCUGAAGGAAUACCAGUGGCGAAGGCGGCCACCUGGACAAUAACUGACGCUCAUGUACGAAAGCGUGGGGAGCAAACGGGAUUAGAUACCCCGGUAGUCCACGCCGUAAACGAUGUCAACUAGCCGACUGCAUCCUUGAGAUUUGGGUGGCGCAGCUAACGCAUUAAGUUGACCGCCUGGGGAGUACGGCCGCAAGGUUA
rnacentral:rRNA from 1 species